GACAUAGGUGGCAAACGUUAUCCGGAAUUAUUGGGCGUAAAGGGUGCGUAGGUGGUUCAAUAAGUUACUGGUGGCAAAUCGGGGCCCAACCCCGUGGAAGUCGGUAAUACUAUUAAACUAGAGGAUCGGAGAGGUUAACGGAAUUCAAUGUGUAGCGGUAAAAUGCUCAAAUAUAUAGAGGAACACCAAACGGCGAAGGCAGUUAACUAUUCGGUGCCUGACGUUGAGGCACGAAAGCGUGGGGAGCAAGACGG
rnacentral:rRNA from 1 species